UGGCCUGGCUUGUAUCCUCCCUUCAGGACAGCGAGCUCCCCACUGGCCCAAGGUGGGUCCAGAAAUGCCUGAGAACCAGGGCCUGGAGUCAGGAAGCAUAGGAAUCCACUUAAUGCACUGUUCUGCUGUGGCUGAGCUGGCAUCCAAGCUGCAAGACAAAGUUCUUUCCAUUCUUCCCUCUCCCUUCUUCAAGUGAGAGUCUUUCCUCAUGACCACCACUGCCCAAGGCCUGUGGUGAGUAGGCCUCGCCACUGCUGAUGUUCACUUAAGGCCCGAGGGCUUUUCAGUGAGUUUGUAGUAAAUGUUACCAGGCCUGGGUCUCUCCCUUCAAGGCACUGGGCUCCUCUUUGGCCCAGAAAUGCCAUCCAGGAGCCAAGGCCUGGAAUCUGGGAUCCUAGGAGCCUGCUUGGUGCUCCACCCCACUGUGGCCUAGCUGGCAACCAAGCUGUAAGACAAAGUCUCCUUUAUUCUUCCCUUUCCUUUCCUCAAGCAGAAGGUGAUAUGGUUUGGAUAUUUUUCACACCCAAAUCUCUUGUUGAGAUGUUGUAUUCCCCAGUGUUGGAGGUGGGGCCUGGUGGGAGGUUUGUGGGUCACAAGAAUGGAUUCCUCGUAGCUUCGUGCUGUUCUUGAGAUAGUGAGUGAGUUCUCAUGAGAUAUGAUUAUUUAAAAGUGUGUGGCACCUCCCUCUGCCCCUUGCUCCUUCUCUCGCCAUAUGGCCUGCAAGCACCUGCUUCACCUUCUGUCGUGAAUAAAAGCUCCCUGAGGCUUCCCCAGAAGCCAAGCACAUGCUGGUGCCAUAAUUGUAUAGCCGGCAGAACAGUGAACCAAUUAAACCUCUUUUCUUUUUUGAGACAGUCUCACUGUCACCCAGGCUGGAGUGCUGUGGCAUGAUCUCGGUUCACUGCAACCUCCACCUCCCAGGUUCAAGCGAUUCUUGUGCCUCAGCCUCCAGAGUAGCUGUGAUUACAGGUAUGUACCACCAUGCCUGGCUAAUUUUUGUGUUUUUAGUAGAGAUGGAGUUUCACCAUGUUGGCCAGACUGGUCUCAAACUCCUGGCCUCAAGUGAUCCACCCGCCUUGGCCUCCCAAAUGCCGGGAUUACAGGUGUGAGCCACGGCACCCAGCCUAAACCUCUUUUCUUUGUAAAUUACCCAGCCUCAGAUAUUUAUGUAUGGUAACAGAAGAACAACCUAAUACAGAAGGAGUCUCUCCCCAUAGGCACCACAGCUGUGAACACGGUGGGUUAUGCUUGAAGCCUGCAUGGCACUGGGUCUUACCCAAGGGCUGCAGCAAGUUCUACUUGGCUACUAGCAAGUACCGGCAAGUAUUACCUGCUGGUGUUUAUUCAAGACCCAAGGGCUCUUUAGUUAGCAGAAGGAAGGAGUCUCUCCUAGAGCUGUGAGCUGUGCCACCUGGGAUUGGGGGAGUGGUGAUGCAAGCACUCCCUUGGCUGCCCCAGCUGGUGUCUCAGCUCACUGCGACCUCCACCUCCUAGGCUCAAGCAAUCCUUCUACCUCAGCCUCCCUAGUAGCUGGGACUACAGGCACACACCACCAUGCCUGGCUAAUUUUUUUGUAUUUUUGGUAGAGACGGGUUUUGCCAUGUUUCCCAAGCUUGUCUCGAACUCCUGAGCCCAAGUGAUCCACCCGGCUCUGGAUCACAGGCAUGAGCCACCAUGCCUGGCCUGGUGUCUUACUAGGUCACGUGCACCCAAAGUCCACUGGCUCCAAGCUCAGCACAGCACCGGGACUUGCCUAGGAAUUGCAGUCCUUGUGGCUAAGACUACCUUUCAAGUUUAUUUAGGACGCCAGAGUGCUUUAGCAUGCACUGGUGGGACUAGCUAGAACUCAGGUUCUCACUGCUGGGAUGGAUGAUUUUCCUCUGGUUAGGGCUGGUAUAAAAAUUCCUUCCUUGGGCCCCAGCUGAUUUCUGCCCUGUGUUGCCAAGUCCCACAAUCACUGCGUUCUCCCUUCCCCAAGCACACAGAUUCUCUCUCCGUGUCAUACAGCUGCUGUCCAGGGGGUUGAGGAGGGUAGUGUAGGCAAUUCAAAAUUGUCUUUCCUAACCUCUUCAGUGCCCCUUUUCUCAAUAUGAUAUUAAAACCAGAUACUUUGGUUCUUAUGAAGGUGAUUUCUUGUGUGGAUAAUUGUUCAAUUUGGUGUUCCUGCAGGGGAGAUGAUUAUUGGUUCUGUUGGGUCAUCUUGCUUUGCCUCCUCCUACUUCAUUGAUUACUUUCCUGACCUUUAUUUCACCUGUGUUUUCAAAAGAUGUUUUAGUAUGGCAGAAAGUUCUACAUUGACAGUAUUUUACUUUCAGUACUUUUAAGAUGUUUUGCUGUUUGUGAGUUUCCAUUGAUUUUGUGAGAAAUCUGUCAUCAUUGUAUGUUCCUUUGUCCGUAAUGCCUUUUCCCCCAGCUUCUUUUAAGAUUUUUUUCUGUUUAUCCUUAGUUUUAAUCAGUUUGAUUAUGAAUUGUCUUUUGGUAGCUUUCUUCAUGUUUCUGUUUUUGGGGGGGUUCCUUUGAGGUUCUUGGUUCUAUGGGUUUAUAGUUUUCAAUGCAUUUGGAAAAAAUUCUGCAAUUAUUUCACUUUUUCUGUCACUCCACCUCUUAAUUUGGGAAUUCCAAUUAAAAGUUAAUUAGGUUGCUGAAACUGCUGCAGAGCUCAGUUAUAUGCUUUUUUUGGGGGGGGUCUGUUUAUUUGUUUCAUUUUAGAUAGUUGCUAUUGCUUUGUCUUCACAUUCUUUUAACAGUUUUUUCUUCUUGAUUGUCUCAUCUCUUAAUUCUAUCCAGUGUAGUUCUUAUCCCAGUAAUUAUAGUUUGCGUCUUAUAGAAGUUUGAUUUGGGUCUUUUGUGUCCACACACACAUGCACUCCAUGUCUCAUGCCUCUUCUUCACAUGUUCAUUCUUUCUUUCUUCUUCUUCUUCUUUUUUUUUUGAGACAGAUAUUGCCCAGGCUGGAGUUGAGUGGUGUGAUCUCAGCUCACUGCAACCUCCCAGGCUCAAGCCAUCGUCCCACCUCAGCCUCCUGAGUAACUGGGACUACAGGUGCGCACCACCACACCUGGUUGGUUAAUUUUUGUUUGUUAUAGAGACAGGAUCUCGGCCCUGUUGCCCAGGCUGGUCUCAAAAUCCUGAGUGCAAGCAGUUCACCUGCUUUGGCCUUCCGAAGUGCUGGGAUUACAGGCGUGAGCCACUGUGCCUGUCCCCAUGUUCAGUCUUUCUUAUAGCUUCUUGAACAUAUAGAAGUAAAUGAUAAUGGAUUUUGUGCCUUGCCUGCUAAUUCAAGUGUAAUUUGAGGGUUUGUUUCAAUUGAUUGACUUUCCUCCUUUUUAUAGAUUAUGUUUUCCUUUUUUCAUGACUUUUUUUUUUUUUUUUUUGAGACAGAGUCUCGCUCUGUCACCCAGGCUGGAGUUCAGUGACACGAUAUGGCUGACUGCAACCUCUGCCUUCUGGGUUCAAGCGAUUCUCCUGCUUCAGCCUCCCAAGUAGUUGGGAUUACAGAUGCCUGCCACGACGCUCAACUAAUUUUUGUAUUUUUAGUAGAGAUAGGGUUUCACCAUGUUGGCCAGGUUGGUCUUGAACUGACCUCAAGUGAUUCACCCACCUCGGCCUCCCAAAGUGGUGGGAUUACAGGUGUCAGCCACCACGCUCAGCCAGCAUUUUUCAACUGAAUGCUAGAUAUGGUGAAUUUUAUUGGUUCCUGAUAUUUUUGUAUUUUUAUAAAUAUUUUUGACCUUUUUUCUUGGAUGCAGUUAAGUUACUUGGAAAUAGCCUGACUUUUUCAGGUCUUGCUUUUAAGCUUUACUAGGUGAGACUACAGGACUUUCUACAAUUAAUUUUUCCAUUAGUGAGGCAAAAAUUCUUCUGAAUACCACAUCUGAUCAUCCAUUAAUAAUAAAGUUUUCAAGUUAGUUUCUUCUAAUUAUUUUGGGUGGGGUUUUCCCUACCUUCUGUAGUUUCCUCACACAUGUGCACCAAUCAGUACUCAAUCAAAUAUUCAAUGAUGACCUUUUGCAUAUUUAAGGAGUUUUCUCUCUGUGCAUGUCUCUCCUCUUGUAUUCUGCCUUAUGAAAUUCAGCCACCUUAGUCUCUGUGAACUCCCAGAUCCAUUUCCUGGAGUUAGGGAGGCCACUGGGCUGCUCCUGGAUUUAUCUUCCCUUUGCCAUGGCCUGGACACUUUCCCUGGACAGUAAGCUGAGUUCAUUGUAAGGCUCUCACCGAGUUUGUUUUCCAUCUCUUGAUUUCCAGUUUCUUCAGUAAUGUGUUACAUAUUUUGUUUGGAUUUAAAGUUGCUUUAGUCGAUUGGGCAAAUUUCAGUGUCUGUUCCUUCACAUUUUGGUUAGAAAACAACUCAAUAUAGUAUUUUAGUAGAAAAAAGGACAUGAAAAGAAAAUUACUUUUAAAUCCCUUGUUUCUUUUUAUUGAAACUUAUAUUUUUCCUAGGCUCAUUGAAGAGAACAGUUAUAUUUAAGUUUAUUUAUAACAUCUGUCCUCAUGUAAUUUUUAGAGCUACUAACAAAAUACAGGAGAAAAUGAAAACUAUUGAUGUUACUAGUACUCUUCUGUUCCAGUGAAAGCUUGAUACUGCUAAGUGAAUGAUACAAAACAAGUUAAUCCAUUACUACUCCUGAUUCUCUGAGGUCUGAAUCAACUUAUAGAGGAAAUCUCCUGUGAUGUGCUGUGCUCUUCAUAUAUAAAUUUGAUUGUAUUUUGCUGACUGCUAAUAUUACAGGUUUUUUUCAAGUCAAAUUAAAACGUUUGGUUAUAUUCUGCAGCAAGUUAUUUAAAUUGUCCAUGUUGCAAAUAACAUCUCGUUCCAUUUCAUAGAAUGGUGAAAACAUCUGUUUACGUAAUUAUAGUUUGCUGUUGUCAAACUGGUACAGAAUUUGCCUGCUAAAAUGCAAACAAGGCUAAUAUAGUCCACAGUUGUGUUUGUUAAAAAUCUUGAUAUAGCAAUUUUCAUUGUUACUGAUAUCAAAGACAUUAAGUGGGAUUAGUCAACCGUAUCCAUUAUUUGUGAGCUUGAAAGACAAGAAAGUAGUUGGACUCUACAGCUAAUUCAGAGUAUCAUUCUAGCUAUCAGUUUCUGCUUCUCCUUAUAUCAAGACUUUUAAAAAGCAACAGUUCUAAUAUAUAGAGACAUUUAUUAAUUUAGGUAAUUUUUCCACUUCAAGCUGAAAGGUGCUAUUAAUUGAACAGGCAGGCAUCCAAAGACAAACAUCUAACUUGUUUGUCUCUGUCUUGCUUUCUUGGGAUGUGUAGUUCAUGAUGGCAGACUCUCAUCUGUUUUAUUUCCCUGAGGAUACCCAGUAACUAGAAAGUUCUUGGCACAUAGUAAGCAUUAACCACAUUUUUGAUGACAGUGAGUCAAUGAAUGAGUGAAUGAACAAUUAAGCUUCUGAGUCUUUUCCCUUCUUCCAUAUCUCAUCCAUCUUUCCAGGCCUAGUUCAAAGUUAUACUGCAUUUAUGAAGUGUUUUUUGAAUGAAAUUUUCUCCAACUAUUUCAGUUCAUUAUGAUCUUUUUUUUUUUUUAGACAGUCUUGCUCUGUUGCCCAGACUGGAGUGAAGUGGUGUGAUCUUGGGUCACUGCAGCUUUCACCUCCUGGGUUCAAGUGAUUCUCCUGCCUCAGCCUCCCAAGUAGCUGGGAUUACAGGGGCCUGCCACCAUGCCCGGCUAAUUUUUUGUAUUUUUAGUAGAGAUGGGGUUUCAUCAUGUUGGCCAGGCUGGUCUCAAACUCCUGACUUCGGGUGAUCCUCUGCCUCGGCCUCCCAAACUGUUGGGAUUACAGGUGUGAGCCGCCAUGCUGUGGCCAUUAUGAUCUUUUCAUUGAACUCUUGGCAUUUUCUUGCCAGUUUAAGAGAGAAUUUUCUAACAAAUAUAACUGCACACAGUUGGAGUAGACAGCAAGAAGGAAACAUUCUAUUACUUAAAGUGUUUAAGGAGUGGCAGGAUGGCCUUGUCAGUAAAAGGGAGGGGAGUGACAGGUAUAGCGUUGUUACUUUGUGCCAGGUACUUAUGUAUUUCAUGCCCUUUAAUUUCAAAGGCCCUGACCCUACAAGGUGUAGAUCAACUUUCCCUAUUUUUUAGUGUGGAAACUGAGGCUUAGAGAGGCCUAUAAAAUUUGUCUACAGUUCCAUAGCCAUAAGCGUCUGAUUGAUAAAGCAAACCCAGGUUGUUGUUUGUAGAAGAGCUGUUAAACUGCCUUUAGUGUGUAACUACUUCAUGAACUCAGAGUCCAUUAUGAUUGUGUAAAGUAUGACAGUUUGGCAUUUCUACCAAGAAAUGAAGGCUUGAAUGGGGCAGAAUGACAGCACUUGGUGGUUAGGAAGAGAAGAAAGUUUUGGAUAAUGGGAUAAUUAGAAACACCGAAAGGGAAAGAGAGGUACCAAACUUCAUCAUUCUGUUCCUAUUUUGGCCUCAUGAUGAUGUCAAGAUUUUUGACAACGAAGUUGGUGGAUCCUAUUUUGAUUUUUUUAGAGAAACAUUUAUUAUUGGGGUUUAUUGCUCUGGUUUUUGUUUUAUAUGAUACAAAAGAAACAAAAAAAUUAAGUCUUACAGUAAAAAUAAGUCCUUUCCCCCAACUAUCUUAAAAUCUUAAGAUAAAAAUCUUGACCGGUUAAAACCAGUCAACUAACUUCUUGUUUUUAGUGAAGAUCGUGUUUGUUAAUAAUGCAUUUUUUUGAACUUGUCUUUUUUCAUGGUUUCAUAUGGAACAGACAUACCAUAGUAAACUGGCAUGUUAUACUUUUAUCUGGCUGCUCUCUGGAUGAUCUGGUAAACCAUCAUGUUAUAUAGAAGUUAAAGAGGUAAAGUGGGUUCAUAUUUUUGGUUGUUUUAUUGGCAGAUUUUAUCUCUGCUUUUCUGUACACUUAAAAUGUUUGCAUAAUUAAAAAUUUUAAGAAUUGCAUAACCCUAUUUGUGUUUAAUAUAUGCCUUUAAACAAGUGAAAAAAUAUGUUGAACUUUCGUUGUACCACCAGAUGGCGUUCUCUAUUAAUCCAAAUUAAGAUGCCCACACCAUUUUCUGAAUUAUUUUGUGUUAUGUGUAUUGUUUGAUUUUUGGCAUGAAUGUAUGGUCAAAUAAUAAUGGGAUCUAGAAUUCACGAAUAAAAGAGGAAGUAGAAUAAAUGAGUUGCUAAUGUAUAGCCCCAGGAUAUAUCAAAUAAGCCAGCGUUUAAUAUAGUUUCUGGAAUUUAAUCAUUAGUCAUUAGAAUGAUGUUAGAAUAAAAUUUAGGAUUAGGAAUAUAGCUGUUUUGUAUUUUGCCACAUAUGUUUGUCUUUCCUUAUUCUGGGUUUUUCUUUGAUUUUUAUCAAUAGUUUUUGUGUGUCAGCUGUUUUUGACAUUAAUGGUUUCUCUUGUUAUAAGUUAGUUUUAUACUAUUAGAGUAACUUUAUUCCAAUUAUGAUGUACUGGAAUUUGGAUUCAUGAGAUUUUGUCAUAUUUUGAUCAUAUAAGCAUGGAAAAUUUGAGCUUGAUUUGUUUAACAAAAUAAAUAAACAUCAUCUCUGAGUAUAUUCACUUGUGUCCAUUCUUUCUCUUUUCAUGAAUGUGAUUUAUUAUUUCAGUAAUAAAGGAUGUUAAUCUUAAAUUGGUAAUCCUAAAUGAAACUUUUAUAUUAUCCUCAUUAACUUUUAUUUUUUUUUUUAGCUAAAAGGAAUGAUAGGCAAAAUUGAUGUAUGUUGAAAGUCAGCCUGAAAGGUGUCGAGAGCAUGAUCUGUUAAGUAACAUAACAGUAAAGGCCUUUUACUGUUGCCUUUGCGAAAAGAAAA